AGUGAACGCUGGCGGUAGGCCUAACACAUGCAAGUCGAACGGCAGCACAGUAAGAGCUUGCUCUUACGGGUGGCGAGUGGCGGACGGGUGAGGAAUACAUCGGAAUCUACUUUUUCGUGGGGGAUAACGUAGGGAAACUUACGCUAAUACCGCAUACGACCUACGGGUGAAAGCAGGGGAUCUUCGGACCUUGCGCGAUUGAAUGAGCCGAUGUCGGAUUAGCUAGUUGGCGGGGUAAAGGCCCACCAAGGCGACGAUCCGUAGCUGGUCUGAGAGGAUGAUCAGCCACACUGGACCUGAGACACGGUCCAGACUCCUACGGGAGGCAGCAGUGGGGAAUAUUGGACAAUGGGCGCAGGCCUGAUCCAGCCAUACCGCGUGGGUGAAGAAGGCCUUCGGGUUGUAAAGCCCUUUUGUUGGGAAAGAAAAGCAGCAGGUUAAUACCCCGCUGUUCUGACGGUACCCAAAGAAUAAGCACCGGCUAACUUCGUG
rnacentral:rRNA from 1 species